rnacentral:rRNA from 1 species
AGAGUUUGAUCCUGGCUCAGGAUGAACGCUGGCGGCGUGCCUAACACAUGCAAGUCGAGCGAAGCACUCUAAUUCGAUUCUUCGGAUGAAGAUUUUUGUGACUGAGCGGCGGACGGGUGAGUAACGCGUGGGCAACCUGCCUUACACAGGGGGAUAACAGUUAGAAAUGACUGCUAAUACCGCAUAAGACCACGGUACUGCAUGGUACAGUGGUAAAAACUCCGGUGGUGUAAGAUGGGCCCGCGUCUGAUUAGGUAGUUGGCGGGGUAACGGCCCACCAAGCCGACGAUCAGUAGCCGACCUGAGAGGGUGACCGGCCACAUUGGGACUGAGACACGGCCCAGACUCCUACGGGAGGCAGCAGUGGGGAAUAUUGCACAAUGGGGGAAACCCUGAUGCAGCGGCGCCGCGUGAGCGAUGAAGUAUUUCGGUAUGUAAAGCUCUAUCAGCAGGGAAGAAAAUGACGGUACCUGACUAAGAAGCCCCGGCUAACUACGUG